CGGAUUGAAGGCUGAAAUUCGCCUUCAUGAAGCCGGAAUUGCUAGUAAUGGCAGGUCAGCAUACUGCCGUGAAUACGUUCCCGGGCCUUGUACACACCGCCCGUCACACCAUGAGAGUUGGGAAUACCCGAAGCCUGUGAGCUUAACUUUAGGGAGGCAGCAGUCGAAGGUAGAAUCAAUGAUUGGGGUGAAGUCGUAACAAGGUAUC
rnacentral:rRNA from 1 species